rnacentral:rRNA from 1 species
CUGGCUCAGGAUGAACGCUAGCGGCAGGCUUAACACAUGCAAGUCGAGGGGCAUCGGGAGUAGCAAUACUGCCGGCGACCGGCGCAAGGGUGCGUAACGCGUCGAGCAACAGUGCCCGUAUUAGGGGGAUAAUCCAUGGAAACGUGGUCUAAUACCCCAUAGUAAUUAUGUAGGGCAUCUUAUAUAAUUUAAAGCUUUGGUGGAUACGGAUUGGCUCGCGUGACAUUAGCUAGAUGGUAAGGUAACGGCUACCAUGGCUACGAUGUCUAGGGGUUCUGAGAGGAAGGUCCCCCACACCUGGAACUGAGACACGGUCCAGACUCCUACGGGAGGCAGCAGUGAGGAAUAUUGGACAAUGGAUGGAAAUCUGAUCCAGCCAUGCCGCGUGCAGGAAAGACGGCCCUAUGGGUUGUAAACUGCUUUUGUUAUGGGAGCAAUAAGGGCUACGUGUAGUCCGAUGAGAGUACCAUACGAAUAAGCACCGGCUAACUCCGUGCCAGCCGCUGC